GGAAGGGUGGCCCAGCGGUUAGAGCACUCAGCUAGGACUUGGGAGAAGCGGGUCCAAGCUCCUGCUCCUCCCC
rnacentral:tRNA from 1 species